ensembl:processed_transcript 9530080O11Rik RIKEN cDNA 9530080O11 gene
AGGAGAGCGCGCCUGCGCGAGCUAGAGUGGCCAAAGGUAGUGGAGGGCUCAGAGGCCAACCUUCCAUUUCUCCUGGUUAGCACUAGUACAGACCCACUCUCAGCCUCCAGCCUCUUCUCAUUCCCCACCACAGUGCUCAGGAAUUGAAACCCCCAAAGCAAGAGGAACCACGUGACCAAGAAACGUGUUUCCUAAGGAAAAAACAGACCUCCAUGCUGCCUAAGUCAAAGAAGCCCUCACAGAAUCACAGGUCACGUUCUGCUCAUAGGAACUCUUGCUAUCUCCACUUGCGCGUCUCCAUUAGCAGUGAUGCUUCUAUACUUUUGGAGAUGGAUUGCACAAGGAACUUUUCCUGGCCUCGUCCUGAAGUCAGCCAUUUCUCCAAGGAGUCCACUUUCCAUGCUGUUGAGAUUGGUACUAAGUAAGACUGGAUUUCUCAAUAUCUACUUCAUUACUAUAAUCCUAUUACUUGGAAUAUGGAUUUUAAUCAGUGUUAAGAUAGAGAUGUUCUUGUAAAAACUAAAAUACUUAACAUAGUAAUUUAUUCAAAGUUGUGGAAAUACUUCUAUGCCUGCUGAAUUUGUAGGAAUAAGAAGCUGAAAGAAUGAGAGUUGGCAAGAAAGAAGUAAGAGGUUCCUUGGAUGAAGAAAUAAAGCUAAUAGCAA